UUCGAACGGUGGUAGCAAUACCAUAGUGGCGCACGGGUGCGUAACGCGUAGCCAACCUACCCGAAUCUGGGGGAUAGCCCGCCGAAAGGCGGAUUAAUACCGCAUAAAACCACAGCCCGGCAUCGGGCAAUGGUUAAAGAUUUAUUGGAUUCGGAUGGGGCUGCGUGCCAUUAGCUAGUUGGGGGGGUAACGGCCCACCAAGGCGACGAUGGCUAGGGGAGCUGAGAGGCUGGUCCCCCACACGGGCACUGAGAUACGGGCCCGACUCCUACGGGAGGCAGCAGUAGGGAAUAUUGGGCAAUGGGCGAGAGCCUGACCCAGCCAUGCCGCGUGCAGGACGAAGGCUUUCUGAGUCGUAAACUGCUUUUGCCAGGGAAGAAAAAAGGGGAUGCGUCCUCUACUGACGGUACCUGGUGAAUAAGCACCGGCUAACUCCGUGCCAGCAGCCGCGGUAAUACGGAGGGUGCAAGCGUUGUCCGGAUUUAUUGGGUUUAAAGGGUGCGUAGGCGGUUCUUUAAGUCUGGGGUGAAAGCCCGUUGCUCAACAACGGAACUGCCCUGGAAACUGGAGGACUUGAGUACAGACG
rnacentral:rRNA from 1 species